AACGCGAAGAACCUUACCUGGGUUUGACAUCCCCGGACAGCCCUAGAGAUAGGGUUUCCCCUUCGGGGCCGGGAGACAGGUGCUGCAUGGCUGUCGUCAGCUCGUAUCGUGAGAUGUCGGGUUAAGUCCCUUAACGAGCGCAACCCUUGUCCCUAGUUGCCAUCAUUCAGUUGGGCACUCUAGGGAGACCGCCGGUGUUAAACCGGAGGAAGGUGGGGAUGACGUCAAGUCCUCAUGGCCCUUAUGUCCAGGGCUACACACGUGCUACAAUGGCCGAUACAAAGGGUUGCUAACCCGCAAGGGGGAGCUAAUCUCAGAAAGUCGGUCUCAGUUCGAAUUGAAGUCUGAAACUCGACUUCAUGAAGCUGGAAUCGCUAGUAAUCGCGGAUCAGCAUGCCGCGGUGAAUACGUUCCCGGGCCUUGUACACACCGUAGAGAC
rnacentral:rRNA from 1 species